ensembl:lncRNA
AGUAGAUAUUUACCAAGCUGAACUCUGCACAAAGUCCAAUGUGUCCAACUAUCUGGAACACGUUGUCCAGCCAACACUCCAAACCGCGGACCUCGCUGACUGGUCGAAAUGCACCAGAUGGACGAUUUGACCCUUUUGUCACUUUUGGUGAUUGAUGUUGUUUUUAAAAGCACGAGCCCAUCGGAGCGACUUUCGGCGCAGGGUCUUUCAACAGCGUGGACAUUUCCUGUCAGCACAAACAAGACGUUGCUCAACGAAGCUGUGGUUUUUCCUGGAGGGGAUUUCUGCUGCAUUUGCAGUAAUGUCUCCUUUUACCACAAGGAUGCCGGCCAAUUAAAAGCUGAAAAUCUGUUAUUCAGCACAAGCAAAUGACUGUUGACUGCUGUGCAGAAGCCCACAGCGGGCUUCCUCUGGAAAGUGUAGGGGUUAGCUUCCAGAUGGUCAACGGAUCUGCUUAAUGCACCAGAGGGGAGGAUGAGACUCCUGCUGCAAUUAAAUCAAACGAGUCGGCGACGACACUUUCUUCGCAUACCGUGCAAAUAUUGUUAAGGAAAUCUUGACGGACAAAAUCUGAUCCUUACUAGACGGGAUUAAUACGUGGUCCAUGUGUGGGUGCUCGUGUUUAAGAUAUAAAGGGGAAUUCAACGUUGUCACACAUGAAAUUCAACAAGUCUCAAGGAGUAUGGAGCCCCUUUUCCACAAAACUCCUCUCUUACAUCCGUUUCCGUAUUUUCGGCCCUUUAGUGGCACUUUCUUUGUCAUCUCAGAUACAAAUCCUCCGCUUCUCUGUCCGAGCAACGCUUUCAAAUGACUCCACUUCGAACAUGAAGCGAGACAGAAAAAAGAUGGACACUCAUAAUCAUCUACAAUGAGUGUGUUGUUCAAGAUUCAAGGUUCAAAGAUUUUCACUGUCAGUUACACACGCCCUGUGUAUUGAAAUUAUUGUGCUUGCCUUUUCUGGAAAGCAAAGCAAUUUUAAAAUUAAAAUUAAAAAAAAUAUUUACAUAAAUGUACAUGAAAUAAAAAUAAAAACGAGGUAAGGAUAAGGCAGAAAUGAGGUAAGGAGGAAAAGUGCAAAACUGAGCAGGUUGUAAAAGAAAAAAUUCUUUAUAUUGCACACAUUUCAUUUAAUUUAAAAGUACAGUAACAGUAAGUGAAAUCCUAACAAGCUAAAGUUGUCUAUUACCUCGUUAAAAAGAAACAUCCAUGUACCUGAUUGUGGUGAAAAAGUGGUUUUAUUGAACAUGUGAGGCAACAUCAUUAGUGGCGGAAAAAUGAAUUCAUUGAAGAUGAAAUAAUGAGUUGCAAGUUAUGAGUAAGUGAGUCAAUAAGUCAUGUAGGUGCACGUUUAGAGCUUUUAACACUGGCGAACACUGACAGCAGAGAGUCACCCAACAUGUUGAUGGUAAAAAGGGAUUAGCUGUCAGUUUACACUGAACAUCUACAUGUGCACCACAACUAUUUCAACUUCAUUCCACCAAUAAUGAAUGAACUGCUGAGGGGCGCCGGGUCGAGGAGACGGAGGGCAGGUGGGUGCCGACGGAGCCGAGAACCACUGAGACGGCCACACAGACACCGGCAGGUCCCCCACAUGGCACGACAUAAGGAGCGCGAGCUCCGAAAUCCCUCCACCCUUCUCCACCUUUCUCCACCCGCCAUCCUCUCCUCCUCUUCUCCCGCCGCACAUCAGCUCUGUGAGAGAAGGCCGCGGAAGCCGCGAGAGCAAGUGGAGCAUUUUGAAUAUCUAUUUUUGCCGUGUUACGCGUCCUCAGAGGACACGCCGAAGCGCACAGUGCUGAAUCACUGAAGCCACGCGUGACACCUGGCUGCUGCCGCCGGGUGAAAACAGCGACGGCUGUUAUUUGUGUUUUCGUAUUUCUCUCGAUUGCAAUCGAUGGAAUCGACGCGUUGCCCUCUACAACUCCCGCUCACCUCAAACUAAUGAGGAAGAGGCCAAUUACAGCGCCGAUCGCCUUCCAAGUCUUCGUUAAAGGCCCGGUCCGUGUCUGCGGGCCAAAGAGGAGAGUGGAAGGAGUUCUUGACCUUGGCUUUGUGUAACUUCACUUUUGUCAAAGGAGGCAUCACCAAAACAAAUGAAUUAAAAAAACAGCCGUAUUUGCCGGUGAAAGAGAUAUUUCUCAGCUUUCCAGUGCGAUAGAGAUGAUGGAGGAACGAAAGCAUGGCCGUAAUCUCCGGCAUCCGCUAUCAAAGCUCUCUGUGUCUAUAUCGCUUUCUCUCUCUUCCCUUCUAGGCUCAUUUGUCCUCUUUUUUUUUUUGAAUUUCUCCCCCCUCCCCAUCUUUGCCAACCUUCCCUUACUGUGCCACUUUGUGUAACUCUAUUGCCCCUGAAACGUUAUAACCAACCACACCAGCAGCGCUGCUACCACUGCAGGGCUCGUCCAGAUGUGCAGUGGAUCAGACCGGCAUCACCAGCAGACACUGAGAAGAGUCACUGGAUGUCACAUCCAGGAUGUACUGUACGUGCCGCCGGGCUUCCCAGCUGUGGGGGACUUUCAUCCGCGACACCACAGAGAAGGACCACUUCCGGUAUUCAUUACAAAUGGCUGUCACCAUGUGAGCCAAACAGGAAUGUUCCAACGCACGUGAAGCAUUUCAGGGGGAACUACACUAUCAAUUAGAGCGCGACCUUUUCUUUGCUUGGGCUUUGGCCUUUGCGUAAUCAUUUGGCUGAUGGUUGGAUAAUGGAGUUGCAGUCCGGGGAUGACGAGAGACGUUACAUUUAGGACACCUGGCUUCGCAGGAAAACACGCAGGAUGUAAUUUGAACGGUAGAAAGAAUGCACGUACCGUAAAGUAAUUCACGUCUCAGUUUGGCCAGUGCUUGGAGAGCAAAAAACACCAGUGCCACUGUUUGCUCACCUCCGCUCUCUUCCUCGACUGGCGAGGUGUCUGCGAGGUUCGGGCCAGCACCCUGCAGAGAGGAGUCCACCUCAUCCAAACGAGGCCUGACAGGCGACUGCGUCCACGACGCCGCGUGCACACUGGGACCGGCCGCCAGGGGCAUUCGGCUAAGACGUCGGCCAACGGCUCAGCAUCCUCCUACAGCAUCGAGAGCUGCUCCAACGAACGCUGCAUGAACACGAGAUGUUUCGGAGGGCUUUCUAACUUGAAGCCGCCGCUCUGGGUUCCUGCGCUCCUCUCCCUCGCUCCCUCCGCCGAUUGAUAUUCGCGCCGAGCAGGCAGCCUGAGCCCCGGAGCUCAAAGGGUUCCGUAUCUGUGGUCCACGGCGCUGAAGAGGGUGGAACGCAGUGAAAUAAUAGAAAUCUUAAGAGGUGAGAAUCAAGAGUGGCUCCAGAACAAGUCAAGAGUGGCUAAGUGUCAACCGCCCUUGUGCUGCCUUGAAGUCCAUGUCGACGUGGCUGCCGCGAUGGGUGUCGCCCUGGUGUUUCUUCUCAGCGCUGUUGUGCUUCCCUCUGUGUCAGCUGGAGGUGUUUAUUGUGCUAAAACAGCCAGAGCCCGUGCAGCUGCCCUGGGUUUGUAUUACCCCGGCGUCUACGCACCAGCUCCGCCUGGGACGCGUCCCAGCAGCAGGCUGCUUGGACCUCAACCCUACCAGGACGGUCGUCCUUUGUGGAAAGAAACUGGACCCGACGCGGCUUCUCACGCAAACCGGCAACCCGACGUAAGAUUCCCAGAUGGCCGACCGCGUGAACCAACGCACCCCUGGAGUUGGCGCGGCGCUUCCCGUCCGGCUCAGCGUGACCACGCCGCCGGCCGAGCGCUCCCCAGAGGGCGCUCCGUCAUCUACCGCCAGCCCUAUUCUGAGGAGGUCAAGCGCGUUGUCCCUCCGACGGCGGCUGGAGCCCCGGGCCGGCCUGACCUUGUGGAUUGGCGUCCCCAAGGUCGCAGCCGGCCGCCCUCGCCUGUCUACGAUGGGCGCGACCACGCGGUUGACGAGUCUGUCCCAAAUGGACGUGACGUGUCUGUGAGGGGGCUCCCGCUGCCCCGAAGCGGGGGUCGUGGCGCUUACCCAAGCUCUAUUCCUGGACGCGGCCUGGCGAGAGAUGCCCCUGUCCUCCGCUCAUCCGGCUCCGCCGCCAGGGCGCCGUCCGGCCCAGAUCCCGGACCAGCCGGGAUUGGCCUGUCUGGCAGUCUUGCGCGUCCCCUGCGCAGACGCCUCCACGUCGAACAGCCUUUUGCAAGGUGACCCUGUUCAAGGACGUCGGGCGGAACGCAGCAUCGGGUCCAGUUGGAAUGAGUCGGGGAGCGUGACGCUUUGCCGUCGUCUUCCUGUGAGGAUCUGUUGAAGAUGGCAGGCGAGCAUUUUUUGACUGAUGAGAAAUGUGUUUGUCAGGUGUUCUCUAACUGUUUUUUUGUUUAUUGAACAAUGCUCAUCGUGUGUGUGUGUGUCUAUAUGCUUGUGCAUUGUCCCUUACUUGAAUGUAACACUAAAACUAGAUGCUUUCUUGAAUACACGUUGUAUUUUGCCUCUUUCUGCUCCCCCAUCAGAGAUGUGUUACCACAGUGCCAUCUGUUGGUUCUGAGGUGAAGUUCUUCCUUCGGCUCACAUUGUUUGAGCACAGAAGCUCGACAAACGCCCUCAUCUCUUUACGCUCUUCAUUUUGCCCAAUGUCCAAAUAAAGUCUUUCAGUCAUCAGUGGUGCCGACCUUUCAUGUGGAGAUGUACUGCUUUAGAACUCGUGG